GAGAUAAUAGUAGUAAUGGAAAAAUACGUUUUGCUAAGACGAGUUGCAAGUUCGAAUCCUGCUUAUCUCC
rnacentral:tRNA from 1 species